rnacentral:rRNA from 1 species
UUCACGGAGAGUUUGAUCCUGGCUCAGGACGAACGCUGGCGGCGUGCUUAACACAUGCAAGUCGAGCGAGGCCCUUCCUUCGGGAAGGAGCCCUAGCGGCGAACGGGUGAGUAACACGUGGGCAACCUGCCCCUAGCACUGGGAUAACUCCGGGAAACCGGGGCUAAUACCGGAUAUGACCUUGGAGGGCAUCCUCCUUGGUGUAAAGGAUUCUGGCUAGG